UGUAUAAUCCCUGCGGGGGAAAGAUUUAUCGCUAUUAGAUGAGCCUACGUUAGAUUAGCUAGUUGGUAAGGUAAUGGCUUACCAAGGCUAUGAUCUAUAGCUGGUCUGAGAGGACGAUCAGCCACACUGGAACUGAGAUACGGUCCAGACUCCUACGGGAGGCAGCAGUGGGGAAUAUUGGACAAUGGGCGAAAGCCUGAUCCAGCUAUGCCGCGUGAGUGAAGAAGGCCUUCGGGUUGUAAAACUCUUUCAAUAGGGAAGAUAAUGACGGUACCUAUAGAAGAAGUCCCGGCAAAGUCAGAAGAAGUCCCGGCAAAGUCAGAAGAAGUCCCGGCAAAGUC
rnacentral:rRNA from 1 species